UACGUAGGGCGCGAGCGUUGUCCGGAAUCAUUGGGCGUAAAGAGCUCGUAGGCGGCCUGUCGCGUCUGCUGUGAAAUCCCGGGGCUUAACCCCGGGCGUGCAGUGGAUACGGGCUGGCUGGAGGCAGGCAGGGGAGAACGGAAUUCCCGGUGUAGCGGUGAAAUGCGCAGAUAGUCGGGAGGAACACCGGUGGCGAAGGCGGUUCUCUGGGCCUGUACUGACGCUGAGGAGCGAAAGCGUGGGGAGCGAACAGG
rnacentral:rRNA from 1 species